rnacentral:rRNA from 1 species
CUCUACAGCCAUGCCACCCUGAACAAACCCAAUCCCUUCUGAUCUCGGAAGCUAAGCAGGGUCAGGCUUGGUUAGUACUUGGAUGCUGUAAUAA